rnacentral:rRNA from 1 species
ACGGAGGGGUUAGCGUUGUUCGGAAUUACUGGGCGUAAAGCGCGCGUAGGCGGCGCAUUAAGUCAGAGGUGAAAGCCCGGGCUCAACCCCGGAAUUGCCUUUGAGACUGGUGUGCUUGAGUAGGAAGAGGUGAGUGGAAUUCCCAGUGUAGAGGUGAAAUUCGUAGAUAUUGGGAAGAACACCAGUGGCGAAGGCGGCUCACUGGUCCGUAACUGACGCUGAGGUGCGAAAGCGUGGGAGCAACAGGAUUAGAUAC